ACCAGCCAACUGACAACAUCCUCUUCUUCUUCUUUUAAUAUUGUGCUCUUACUGUAUCUCAAACACCUUCAUGAUUUAAAGACUUAAAUAAAGAAUCAAAGAGUACGUCACGUCGUUGGAUUCAUCUGCAUCUGGAAUAAACACGAGAAGAUGACUCACCAUCUUAAAUCAAGCAACACAGCAGCAGCAGGAGCAUCAGGGUUAAAAGGGGAAAAAACAGUCCAAGGACCAAUGGCAGAGGAAAGGAGGAACCUUCAGAGCUGGACACUGCCAAAAUAAAAGAACAAAAUGGUUA